rnacentral:rRNA from 1 species
GUCAGAAUGCUACGGUGAAUACGUUCCCGGGCCUUGUACACACCGCCCGUCACACCAUGGGAGUGGGUUGCAAAAGAAGUAGGUAGCUUAACCUUCGGGAGGGCGCUUACCACUUUGUGAUUCAUGACUGGGGUGAAGUCGUAACAAGGUAACCGUAGGGGAACCUGCGGUUGGAUCACCUCCUUACCUUAAAGAA